rnacentral:snoRNA from 9 species
GUUUGGAUGAUGACUUAAAUUGUCGGAUACCCCUUCACUCCCUUUAUGAGUGAAACUUAAUAGUCUGACAAAC